CCGAUUUCUUCGGAAUGAAAAAUUUGGUGACUGAGUGGCGGACGGGUGAGUAACGCGUGGGUAACCUGCCUCAUACGGGGGGAUAACAGUUAGAAAUGACUGCUAAUACCGCAUAAGACCACAGCACCGCAUGGUGCAGGGGCAAACCCUCCGGUGGUAUGAGAUGGACCCGCGUCUGAUUAGGUAGGUGGUGGGGUAACGGCCUACCAAGCCGACGAUCAGUAGCCGACCUGAGAGGGUGACCGGCCACAUUGGGACUGAGACACGGCCCAGACUCCUACGGGAGGCAGCAGUGGGGAAUAUUGCACAAUGGGGGAAACCCUGAUGCAGCGACGCCGCGUGAGCGAUGAAGUAUUUCGGUAUGUAAAGCUCUAUCAGCAGGGAAGAAAAUGACGGUACCUGACUAAGAAGCACCGGCUAAAUACGUGCCAGCAGCCGCGGUAAUACGUAAGGUGCAAGCGUUAUCCGGAUUUACUGGGUGUAAAGGGAGCGUAGACGGAGUGGCAAGUCUGAUGUGAAAACCCGGGGCUCAACCCCGGGACUGCAUUGGAAACUGUCAAUCUGGAGUACCGGAGAGGUAAGCGGAAUUCCUAGUGUAGCGGUGAAAUGCGUAGAUAUUAGGAGGAACACCAGUGGCGAAGGCGGCUUACUGGACGGUAACUGACGUUGAGGCUCGAAAGCGUGGGGAGCAAACAGGAUCAGAUACCCUGGUAGUCCACGCCGUAAACGA
rnacentral:rRNA from 1 species